rnacentral:rRNA from 1 species
UACGUAGGGGGCUAGCGUUGUCCGGAUUUAUUGGGCGUAAAGAGCGUGUAGGCGGCCAGGUAGGUCUGCUGUGAAAACUCGAGGCUCAACCUCGAGACGUCGGCGGAAACCAUCUGGCUAGAGUCCGGAAGAGGAGAGUGGAAUUCCUGGUGUAGCGGUGAAAUGCGCAGAUAUCAGGAAGAACACCCGUGGCGAAGGCGGUUCUCUGGGACGGUACUGACGCUGAGACGCGAAAGCGUGGGGAGCAAACAGG